rnacentral:lncRNA from 1 species
UCCUUCUGUGAACACUCAGGCUCUGGCACAUAAAAUGCCCCACUCGCAAUUCCAACCUUUUCCUGAAUACUCCUGAUCCACUUGUGUUUCUGCACCAAGAAGUUCCCAUCUCUGAAGCACAUCAGACUUCCUAAGAGUGAUGGCCCUCGGCUGAUUCAUUUGUUGGGAGGCACGCCACAGGGAACCAGUCUUUCUCUUGGGAUCGGUGAGUGA